rnacentral:rRNA from 1 species
GACGAACGCUGGCGGCGUGCUUAACACAUGCAAGUCGAACGAUGAAGCCGGAGCUUGCUCUGGUGAAUUAGUGGCGAACGGGUGAGUAACACGUGAGUAACCUGCCCUUGACUCUGGGAUAACUGCGGGAAACUGUAGCUAAUACCGGAUACGACCCUCGGAGGCAUCUCCUGGGGGUGGAAAGAAUUUCGGUCAAGGAUGGACUCGCGGCCUAUCAGCUAGUUGGUGAGGUAAAGGCUCACCAAGGCGACGACGGGUAGCCGGCCUGAGAGGGUGACCGGCCACACAGGGACUGAGACACGGCACAGACUCCGACGGGAGGCAGCAGUGGGGAAUAUUGCACAAUGGGCGCAAGCCUGAUGCAGCAACGCCGCGUGAGGGAUGACGGCCUUCGGGUUGUAAACCUCUUUUAGCAGGGAAGAAGCGAAAGUGACGGUAGCUGCAGAAAAAGCACCGGCUAACUACGUGCCAGCCGCCGCCGUAA